rnacentral:rRNA from 1 species
AUUGAACGCUGGCGGCAUGCCUUACACAUGCAAGUCGAACGGCAGCACGGGAGCAAUCCUGGUGGCGAGUGGCGAACGGGUGAGUAAAGUAUCGGAACGUGCCCAGUCGUGGGGGAUAACGUAGCGAAAGUUACGCUAAUACCGCAUACGAUCUAUGGAUGAAAGCGGGGGAUCGCAAGACCUCGCGCGAUUGGAGCGGCCGAUAUCAGAUUAGGUAGUUGGUGGGGUAAAGGCUCACCAAGCCGACGAUCUGUAGCUGGUCUGAGAGGACGACCAGCCACACUGGGACUGAGACACGGCCCAGACUCCUACGGGAGGCAGCAGUGGGGAAUUUUGGACAAUGGGCGCAAGCCUGAUCCAGCCAUGCCGCGUGCAGGAUGAAGGCCUUCGGGUUGUAAACUGCUUCUGUACGGAACGAAAAGGUUUGACUUAAUACGUUGGACUCAUGACGGUACCGUAAGAAUAAGCACCGGCUAACUACGUGCCAGCAGCCGCAGUAAGAC